UCGGGGGGACGAGGGUGGUUCGCCACUCGCGACGUCUUGAGAAGUCCAUUGAACCUUAUCAUUUAGAGGAAGGAGAAGUCGUAACAAGGUUUCCGUAGGUGAACCUGCGGAAGGAUCAUUG
rnacentral:rRNA from 7 species